rnacentral:rRNA from 1 species
UUACGGGAGGCAGCAGUGGGGAAUUUUGCGCAAUGGGGGAAACCCUGACGCAGCAACGCCGCGUGAGUGAUGAAGGCCCUUGGGUCGUAAAGCUCUGUCAGAGGGAAAGAAAUGUGGGUGGCUAAUAUCCAUACCACUUGACGGUACCCUCAAAGGAAGCACCGGCUAACUCCGUGCCAGCAGCCGCGGUAAUACGGAGGGUGCGAGCGUUGUUCGGAUUUAUUGGGCGUAAAGCGCGUGUAGGCGGUUUUAUAAGUCUGAUGUGAAAGCCCCGGGCUCAACCUGGGAAGUGCAUUGGAAACUGUAAGACUUGAGUACGGGAGAGGGCAGUGGAAUUCCCAGUGUAGGAGUGAAAUCCGUAGAUAUUGGGAGGAACACCGGUGGCGAAGGCGGCUGCCUGGACCGAUACUGACGCUGAGACGCGAAAGCGUGGGUAGCAAACAGGAUUAGAUACCCCGGUAGC